CAAACACAGAAAAAGGCAUACACAGGUUGUGCAGCUGGCCCAGUUUCCUGAAUUUUAAAUACACAUUGAUGGAUAGACACAAACAGAGACACUCCUGCCAAAGAGGAGGAAGAAUGAGAUGCUGUCAACAGAUGAAAAAUAAAAGCUACAUUUCUUGCAAAGAAGACAUCCAUCUUUUUCUAUUUUGAAAAGUGGGCAACUGAGGCCAAAAUUGUCAGAUUGAAGAGCUGUACCUUGACCGUUCAACUAUUCAGUAGAUGCUACUGCUUGUCUCUUGUACAAGUAGAUAUGCCUACUCAUAGAUGCUCUCUCAGCCAGGGCAGUGGCAGUUGGAAUGGGAAGCCAAGGGGAGAACAUUUUAUCUGCUUCUGAAUAUAGACAUGGUGGACCUGUAUGUGCAUCUUCUUGUCUCUCUCCAUGGACAAAACAGUGGCAAUUGGAAUAGAGGGGGAUUUUCAUAAGUCUCUGGCUUUGGGAUAAUGGAGCUAUGCUUGACUUUUCUUCUCUCCCUUCAUAAGCAGGGCAAUGGAUGGAAGAAGGGUUUUUUUAUUUGCUUCUGAAUGUAGGCAUAAUGGAACUAUCUCCCUUUCUCCCUUCACAGCCACAGCAGUGGUAGUUAGGAUGGAAGGAGGACAUUUCAUCUGCUUCUGGUCCCAGAAGCAUAGAAUUGUGUAAAGAUAAUCACAAAUCAGUAAGAAGAUCCACCUGUGGCCUUGGAGAAAUUGUGACCAUUUUUAAACGACUUUCAGCCUGUUUAAACAGCCAUACAUCCUGUUAAAGAAGCUGCAUAUCGACACCAGCAAAAACAGAUUUAUGCACAAGGAUAAACAGGAUCUUCUUGAAUGAACUUCAUCUAAGAACUGCCCUAAGGGCACCAUUAAAGAACUAGAAGGGAGGAGAAAAAAGAAACAAAAUUAAUUUGCAGCUUCUGCCGAAAGGAAA